rnacentral:rRNA from 1 species
GACGAACGCUGGCGGCGUGCUUAACACAUGCAAGUCGAACGGAGUUCCUUGGAUAGAGGCUUCGGCCAAUUGAAAUGGAACUUAGUGGCGGACUGGUGAGUAACGCGUGAGGAACCUGCCUUUCAGAGGGGGACAACAGUUGGAAACGACUGCUAAUACCGCAUGGCACAUUCGGAUGGCAUCACCUGAAUGUCAAAGAUUUUAUCGCUGAAAGAUGGCCUCGCGUCUGAUUAGCUAGUUGGUGGGGUAACGGCCCACCAAGGCGACGAUCAGUAGCCGGACUGAGAGGUUGACCGGCCACAUUGGGACUGAGAUACGGCCCAGACUCCUACGGGAGGCAGCAGUGGGGAAUAUUGGGCAAUGGACGCAAGUCUGACCCAGCAACGCCGCGUGAAGGAAGAAGGCUUUCGGGUUGUAAACUUCUUUUAAGUGGGAAGAGCAGAAGACGGUACCACAGGAGGAAGCCAUGGCUAACUACGUGCCAGCAGCCGCGGAA